AAAGACCUUAUAGGACCUGCAAAGCCUAACAUUUUAUUGUGUGGUUCUUUAUAGAAAUAAAAAGUUGCUGAUUCCAGUCUAGAGGAAACAGUAAGGAAGAGGAAAUAGAAAUUCUCAUUAUAGCCAUGGCAAAGGGACAUUUUUACAGACUACAUCUCUGCCCGAAUGGCUGUCUCUAACUGGAUUUUGCCAAUAUAUUGCUGAUUACCUGUUCUGCUGACGUCAGGCCCAGCACCAGGUGCAGAAGCUACCAUCAUACAACAAUCAAGCUUCCUUGAUUAUGCUCUGUGCCAGGCAUAUACUGUGCAGGCACUGUCAAAACUGGAUGUCACUGCGGCUAAACUCAUUUCCUGUGUAAGUCAGUCCUGAAUUUCCAUCCCUUUUCACUUGAUGUUUACCUUUCCUGGGAUUGUCUUAAAGUAACCUCCCAUUCAUCUUUCAGAGAAAAUAAAAUAAUCCCAUUUAUCAAUUAUUAAAUAGCAACCAAUACUGCUGGCCAUUGUUUCCCUUCCUG
rnacentral:lncRNA from 1 species